rnacentral:rRNA from 1 species
UACGUAGGGUGCGAGCGUUAAUCGGAAUUACUGGGCGUAAAGUGUGCGCAGGCGGCCGCGCAAGUCGAGUGUGAAAGCCCCGGGCUUAACUUGGGAAUUGCGCUCGAAACUACGUGGCUGGAGUGUGGCAGAGGAAGGUGGGAUUCCAGGUGUAGCGGUGAAAUGCGUAGAGAUCUGGAGGAACACCGAUGGCGAAGGCAGCCUUCUGGGCCAACACUGACGCUCAUGCACGAAAGCGUGGGGAGCAAACAGG